rnacentral:rRNA from 1 species
UGGCUCAUUAAAUCAGUUAUCGUUUAUUUGAUAGUACCUUACUACUUGGAUACCUGUGGUAAUUCUAGAGCUAAUACAUGCUAAAAACCCCAACUUCGGGAGGGGUGUAUUUAUUAGAUAAAAAACCAAUGCCCCUCGGGGCUCCUUGGUGAUUCAUAAUAACUUCUCAGAUCGCAUGGCCUUGCGCCGGCGACGGUUCAUUCAAAUUUCUGCCCUAUCAACUUUCGAUGGUAAGGUAGUGGCUUACCAUGGUUUCAACGGGUAACGGGGAAUUAGGGUUCGAUUCCGGAGAGGGAGCCGGAGGAACGGCUACCACAUCCAAGGAAGGCAGCAGGCGCGCAAAUUACCCAAUUCCGAUACGGAGAGGUAGUGACAAUAAAUACUGAUACAGGGCUCUUUUGGGUCUUGUAAUUGGAAUGAGUACAAUUUAAACCUCUUAACGAGGAACAAUUGGAGGGCAAGUCUGGUGCCAGCAGCCGCGGUAAUUCCAGCUCCAAUAGCGUAUAUUAAAGUUGUUGCAGUUAAAAAGCUCGUAGUUGAACCUUUGGCCUGGCUGGCAGGUCCGCCUCACCGCGUGCACUUGUCCGGCCGGGCCUUUUCUUCUGGGCAACCGCAUGCCCUUCACUGGGUGUGUUGGGGACCAGGACUUUUACUUUGAAAAAAUUAGAGUGUUCAAAGCAGGCCUUUGCUCGAAUACGUUAGCAUGGAAUAAUAGAAUAGGACGUGCGGUCCUAUUUUGUUGGGUUCUAGGACCGCCGUAAUGAUUAAUAGGGACAGUCGGGGGCAUCAGUAUUCAAUUGUCAGAGGUGAAAUUCUUGGAUUUAUUGAAGACUAACUACUGCGAAAGCAUUUGCCAAGGAUGUUUUCAUUAAUCAGUGAACGAAAGUUAGGGGAUCGAAGA